rnacentral:rRNA from 1 species
GACGAACGCUGGCGGCGUGCCUAAUACAUGCAAGUAGAACGCAGUUGCGAACGGGUGAGUAACGCGUAGGUAACCUGCCUCAUAGCGGGGGAUAACUAUUGGAAACGAUAGCUAAUACCGCAUACUGUGAGAUGGACCUGCGUUGUAUUAGCUAGGUGGUGAGGUAAAGGCUCGCCAAGGCGACGAUACAUAGCCGACCUGAGAGGGUGGUCGGCCACACUUGGACUACGACACUGCCCACACUCCUUCGGGAGGUCGCAGGUGGGAAUCUUCGGCAAUUGACGUAAAUCUGACCGAGCAACGCCGCGUGAGUGGAGGAGGUUUUCGGAUCGUAAAGCUCUGUUGUUCGCGGAGCGGUAACUACCCAGAAAGGGACGGCUAACUACGUGCCAGCAGCCGCGGUAAUUC